rnacentral:rRNA from 1 species
GACGAACGCUGGCGGCGUGCUUAACACAUGCAAGUCGAACGGAAAGGCCCUGCUUUUGUGGGGUGCUCGAGUGGCGAACGGGUGAGUAACACGUGAGUAACCUGCCCUUGACUUUGGGAUAACUUCAGGAAACUGGGGCUAAUACCGGAUAGGAGCUCCUGCUGCAUGGGGGGGGUUGGAAAGUUUCGGCGGUUGGGGAUGGACUCGCGGCUUAUCAGCUUGUUGGUGGGGUAGUGGCUUACCAAGGCUUUGACGGGUAGCCGGCCUGAGAGGGUGACCGGCCACAUUGGGACUGCGAUACGGCCCAGCCUCCUACGGGAGGCAGCAGUGGGGAAUAUUGCACUAUGGGCGGAAGCCUGAUGCAGCAACGCCGCGUGCGGGAUGACGGCCUUCGGGUUGUAAACCGCUUUCGCCUGUGACGAAGCGUGAGUGACGGUAAUGGGUAAAGAAGCACCGGCUAACUACGUG